GACGAACGCUGGCGGCGCGCCUAACACAUGCAAGUCGAGCGAUGAACAUUGAAUGAUCCCUUCGGGGUGAUUUCGAUCGGAUUAGCGGCGAACGGGUGAGUAACGCGUGAGGAACCUGCCUCUUACCACGGGAUAGCCUCGGGAAACCGGGAUUAAUACCGUAUAAGACUCCGACAUCUCCUGAUGAUGAAGUCAAAGCGUUAGCGGUAAGAGAUGGCCUCGCGUCUGAUUAGCUUGUUGGCGGGGUAACGGCCCAACAAGGCGACGAUCAGUAACCGGCAUGAGACGGUGCACGGUCACAUUGGAACUGAGACACGGUCCAAGCUCCUACGGGAGGCAGCCGUGUGGAAUCUUGAACAAUGGGGGCAACCCUGAUGCAGCGACGCCGCGUGAGCGAUGAAGGUUUUCGAAUCGUAAAGCUCUGUCCUAUGGGAAGAUAAUGACGGUACCAUGGGAGGAAGCCCCGGCUAACUACGUGCCAGCCGCCGCGGUAA
rnacentral:rRNA from 1 species